UGCCCAGUGCUCUGAAGAAGUUUAACCAAGCGCGGGUAAACAGAGGGAGUAACUAUGACUCUCUUAAAGUAGCCAAAUGCCUCUUCAUCUAAUUAGUGACGCGCAU
rnacentral:ncRNA from 1 species